rnacentral:rRNA from 1 species
GUGCACGCUGGCGGUAGGCCUAACACAUGCAAGUCGAACGGCAGCACAGUAAGAGCUUGCUCUUACGGGUGGCGAGUGGCGGACGGGUGAGGAAUACAUCGGAAUCUACUUUUUCGUGGGGGAUAACGUAGGGAAACUUACGCUAAUACCGCAUACGACCUACGGGUGAAAGCAGGGGAUCUUCGGACCUUGCGCGAUUGAAUGAGUCGAUGUCGGAUUAGCUAGUUGGCGGGGUAAAGGCCCACCAAGGCGACGAUCCGUAGCUGGUCUGAGAGGAUGAUCAGCCACACUGGAACUGAGACACGGUCCAGACUCCUACGGGAGGCAGCAGUGGGGAAUAUUGGACAAUGGGCGCAAGCCUGAUCCAGCCAUACCGCGUGGGUGAAGAAGGCCUUCGGGUUGUAAAGCCCUUUUGUUGGGAAAGAAAAGCAGCAGGUUAAUACCCCGCUGUUCUGACGGUACCCAAAGAAUAAGCACCGGCUAACUUCGUG